GAUGAACGCUGGCGGCGUGCCUAAUACAUGCAAGUCGAGCAAACAGACGAGGAGCUUGCUCCUCUGACGUUAGCGGCGGACGGGUGAGUAACACGUGGAUAACCUACCUAUAAGACUGGGAUAACUUCGGGAAACCGGAGCUAAUACCGGAUAAUAUAUUGAACCGCAUGGUUCAAUAGUGAAAGACGGUUUUGCUGUCACUUAUAGAUGGAUCCGCGCCGCAUUAGCUAGUUGGUAAGGUAACGGCUUACCAAGGCAACGAUGCGUAGCCGACCUGAGAGGGUGAUCGGCCACACUGGAACUGAGACACGGUCCAGACUCCUACGGGAGGCAGCAGUAGGGAAUCUUCCGCAAUGGGCGAAGGCUUGACGGAGCAACGCCGCGUGAGUGAUGAAGGUCUUCGGAUCGUAAAACUCUGUUAUUAGGGAAGAACAAAUGUGUAAGUAACUAUGCACGUCUUGACGGUACCUAAUCAGAAAGCCACGGCUAACUACGUG
rnacentral:rRNA from 1 species